rnacentral:rRNA from 1 species
CAAUAGCGUAUAUUAAAGUUGUUGCAGUUAAAAAGCUCGUAGUUGGAUUUCUGGUGGGAGCGAUCGGUCUGGCGCUUAGCGCGAGUACUUGCAUCGUCUCCGGCCAUCCUUGGGGAAAGUCUGUCUGGCAUUAAGUUGUCGGGCAGAGGAUCCUCAUCGUUUACUGUGAAAAAAUUAGAGUGUUCAAAGCAGGCUUAUGCCGUUGAAUAUAUUAGCAUGGAAUAAUAAGAUAGGACCUUGGUACUAUUUUGUUGGUUUGCGCACCAAAGUAAUGAUUAAUAGGGACAGUUGGGGGUAUUCGUAUUCCGUUGUCAGAGGUGAAAUUCUUGGAUUUACGGAAGACGAACUACUGCGAAAGCAUUUACCAAGGAUGUUUUCAUUAA